CAUUUCCUGGCUCAGAGGGUAAAGCGUCUGCCUGCAAAGCAGGAGACCUGGGUUCGAUCCCUGGGUUAGGA
rnacentral:tRNA from 1 species